rnacentral:rRNA from 1 species
CUUGCUCCCUGAUUUAGCGGCGGACGGGUGAGUAAUGCCUAGGAAUCUGCCUGGUAGUGGGGGAUAACGUUCCGAAAGGAACGCUAAUACCGCAUACGUCCUACGGGAGAAAGCAGGGGACCUUCGGGCCUUGCGCUAUCAGAUGAGCCUAGGUCGGAUUAGCUAGUUGGUGAGGUAAUGGCUCACCAAGGCGACGAUCCGUAACUGGUCUGAGAGGAUGAUCAGUCACACUGGAACUGAGACACGGUCCAGACUCCUACGGGAGGCAGCAGUGGGGAAUAUUGGACAAUGGGCGAAAGCCUGAUCCAGCCAUGCCGCGUGUGUGAAGAAGGUCUUCGGAUUGUAAAGCACUUUAAGUUGGGAGGAAGGGCAUUAACCUAAUACGUUAGUGUUUUGACGUUACCAACAGAAUAAGCACCGGCUAACUUCGUGCCAGCAGCCGCGGUAAUACGAAGGGUGCAAGCGUUAAUCGGAAUUACUGGGCGUAAAGCGCGCGUAGGUGGUUCGUUAAGUUGGAUGUGAAAGCCCCGGGCUCAACCUGGGAACUGCAUCCAAAACUGGCGAGCUAGAGUACGGUAGAGGGUGGUGGAAUUUCCUGUGUAGCGGUGAAAUGCGUAGAUAUAGGAAGGAACACCAGUGGCGAAGGCGACCACCUGGACUGAUACUGACACUGAGGUGCG